CAGAAUUUGAAUCCCUCUUCUACAAAUAUCAUUUGACAUGAUGCCUCUCUCUACCUGAGACACAGAAUGGCACCUGUGCCCCAUACCCACUGGAGACUGUGGAAAUCUGGAGGGAGCAACCUUGGUGAUUCUGCCCCAAGAGAAGGGAUUCUCUGGAGCUCUGGACAACAUCCUGGGACUAAGAUGGACAGUGGGAGUAUUGCAGCUUGGAGAGGAUAAUAUUUAAGCCGCUCCUCUGUCUGCUGGGCAUGUUCUCUAGGAUGUGUCAACAGCUCCGCCAACACAAAGCACCAAAAGGUGAGCUCAUUGUCUUUCCUGCAAGUCAGAGUCCCCUGUGCCAUCCCCAUUGAUGCCCCAGCCUCCUCCAUCCCCCCAGUCACACGUGCCCAAUGGGGCUGUCCCAUCACAUGGGUUCCCUCACGAGCGGCACCUCAUGCCCCUCUUCUGGGACCACUUCCCAUCUUUGUUAACUAUAAUUCAGAAAGGAUACCUUGGUGACAAACUCACCGUGUUUUUUCUUUCUCUAUCUAUAAAUAUAUUUACCUCAAUCUCAAUAUUUAAUGAAUGAGAAUUAUAAUUCUGACUUGAUGCUUAUUUUUAAUCUCCUUUCUUGACUUUCACUGUUCCUUUCAGUCUAUUCUGCUGGGAGAUAGUUAUCUUUUGGGCUACUUUUAAAAUCUUCUCUUUGUCAUUUGUGUUCCGCAAUUUCACCAUAACAUAUGUAUUCAUCUACUUCAUAUUCAUUUAACUUGUUGAAACAGAGGAUUUAGGUCCUGAAACACGUCUUGAAAAUUCUCAGCUAAUGUCUCAUAAUUAUCACCUAUCAUUCUCUCUACUUUCUCUUUGUGACACUUCAAUCAUGUGUAAGAAAAAUGGGAAGUUCCAACAAAAUAUUAUAUAUACACUAAUACACUAGAACCCACAAGUGUUUUAUUCCUUAUCCCUUACCUUUUCUUGUUUCCUGUUUAAUUUUCUGUGCUGCAUUCUAGGUAACUUCUUCAGAUCUGUCUUUGACCUCCUGUAACAAUCUCUUUUGAAGCAUGUCAUCUUUUCUUCAUUUCCAUUUUGUUUUCAAUGAUAAUCUUAAUCGUUAGUGUAUUCUCUUUGAUUAUUUUUUAAUGUUUCCUUGAUUAUUUCUGACAGUCUUCUUUUUCAUGUUCACAUAUCAAUUCGCUUUUGUAUUCCUUUAAAUAUAGCUCUUUAACUUUUAUAUCUUUUUAUGGCAAAAUUCCUUGUCUUCAUACAUUUCAAUUGCUUACUGUUUCUACUCACUUUUCUUCAUUGGUUCUUGCUUUAGUUGUCUUAAUAGUGGGAAUAUAUUUACCUGACAUUAAUCUGUGGGAUUUCAGAGAGUCCUGCAUUGAGAGUGCAGAACGUCCAGUCCAUAGCUUUUCCAGCUGUCUCCAGUCUUAUCCCAAAUGCACGGGGCAAAGAAUUGUCUGCUGCACUCUGAGUUGCCAAACACACUCCUGGGUUUGGUUCCUGGGAUCAGAACACGCUCUCAGGACAGUCACAAUGUUCCCUCCAGAACACAGUUCUCAUUUUUGUUAUUUUUCAUGACACCUUCUCCAGAAAUUAGCACCUAUAAGGCUGUGUAGUCAUGACUUUCCCUACCUGUUCUUCCAAGAAAAAUUUAUAUAAAUACAUUUUCAAUAAAAAAACUCCAAAGUCUAAA